rnacentral:rRNA from 1 species
GACGAACGCUGGCGGCGUGCUUAACACAUGCAAGUCGAACGGAAAGGCCCUGCUUUUGUGGGGUGCUCGAGUGGCGAACGGGUGAGUAACACGUGAGUAACCUGCCCUUGACUUUGGGAUAACUUCAGGAAACUGGGGCUAAUACCGGAUAGGAGCUCCUGCUGCAUGGUGGGGGUUGGAAAGUUUCGGCGGUUGGGGCUGGACUCGCGGCUUAUCAGCUUGUUGGUGGGGUAGUGGCUUACCAAGGCUUUGACGGGUAGCCGGCCUGAGAGGGUGACCGGCCACAUUGGGACUGAGAGACGGCGCAGACUGCUACGGGAGGCAGCAGUGGGGAGUAUUGCACAGUGGGCGGAAGCCUGAUGCAGCAACGCCGCGUGCGGGAUGACGGCUUUCGGGUUGUAAACCGCUUUCGCCUGAGACGAAGCGUGAGUGACGGUAAUGGGUAAAGAAGCACCGGCUAACUACGUG